rnacentral:lncRNA from 8 species
GUGCUCAGGCUGGGAGAUGAAGAGGCUCACAGUUGAGGAGAUGAAUUUGGGGAGAAGAGAGUGAAACAGAGGGCACAGCAGACGGAGAGAGAGCGAGAGAGAGGGGGACAGAUGGAGUACUCACUGAUUAUACUAGGGAACGGAGGAUCGGAGCACACAAGGCAGCAGUGAAAGAGAGGAGUGAAAGAAAGAAAGCAAGAACAAACUGGAGCGAUGUGAAAAUGAAAGAAUACCAAAGAACAACAAACAGCGAGCAGGAAAGAGAAGAAGAAGAAUCCCACGACAGAGGGAGAGGAGGACUAGUCCCAAGAGAGGAGGAAAAAGAAAAACAGAUAAUCAGAGGGCAGGUGUAAAAUAGUGAUAUAAGGAAUACAUGCUCUUGGUUGGUGCAGUGGAUUAACUGGCUAUUCUGUUAUCCUGCACAAUGAGUGGAAGAUGAGUCACUGAGAAGAGGUACUGGAAGAGAGAGAGUGAAGGAGAGAAUGUG